ensembl:lncRNA
CCAGCACUUGUCUGUCCCAGCCAGAUUGGGGGCUCCUGGAGGCUAGGGACACCGACACGUCCAUCCUUAUCUUACCAGCGCUAGGCACAUGGACAACCAUGGCUUUACUCAGAAGAUUCCGCUUGCCCAAGAAGAAUUCACAGGAAAACUAUAAACUACAGCUGGCAAACCUCUCAGCUUCCUUCUAAGACUCAGACCCAGGCAAAUCAAAUCGAAGCAAUCACUGCCAAUUUUGUGCUGCACCAAUGAGGCCAAGGGCUGAGGAGAUUCAAUGGAAUGAAGAAGGAUCAGACCCGUUCCUACCCAGGAGAAGCUUACAAUCUAGACUCAGCGCAGUGAGCUGACCCCUGAACCCUGCAGAAGCACUCCCUUUCCAGACCCAAAAACAGUAGAAGAAAAAAAUAAAGCAUAGA